rnacentral:rRNA from 1 species
GACGAACGCUGGCGGCGUGCUUAACACAUGCAAGUCGAACGGUAAGGCCCUUCGGGGUACACGAGUGGCGAACGGGUGAGUAACACGUGGGUGAUCUGCCCUGCACUUCGGGAUAAGCCUGGGAAACUGGGUCUAAUACCGGAUAGGACCACUGCCUGCAUGGGUGGUGGUGGAAAGCUUUUGCGGUGUGGGAUGGGCCCGCGGCCUAUCAGCUUGUUGGUGGGGUGAUGGCCUACCAAGGCGACGACGGGUAGCCGGCCUGAGAGGGUGACCGGCCACACUGGGACUGAGAUACGGCCCAGACUCCUACGGGAGGCAGCAGUGGGGAAUAUUGCACAAUGGGCGCAAGCCUGAUGCAGCGACGCCGCGUGAGGGAUGACGGCCUUCGGGUUGUAAACCUCUUUCAGCAUCGACGAAGCGCAAGUGACGGUAGGUGCAGAAGGAGGACCGGCCAACUACGUGCCAGCAGCCGCAGUAA